AAAACGACUCUCGGCAACGGAUAUCUCGGCUCUCGCAUCGAUGAAGAACGUAGCGAAAUGCGAUACUUGGUGUGAAUUGCAGAAUCCCGCGAAUCAUCGAGUCUUUGAACGCAAGUUGCGCCCGAAGCCAUUAGGCCAAGGGCACGUCUGCCUGGGCGUCACGC
rnacentral:rRNA from 1 species